GGUUUCUCUUCAUAUGUAUAAAUCUUUUGCCUUUUACUAAAGAUUUCCAUGGAGAGGAACAAAAGA
rnacentral:snRNA from 1 species